CCCUUAGGGAAAAGUGGAAAACUCUGCCUCCAGAAUGGAGAUCUGGCUUUCUCUUCCCCUGCUCAACCUGAGCUCAGGGAUUCUGUGCCCCUCGCUCUCCGGACAGUUUUUACACCAGAUUAUCUUCUAAUUGCUGUGAAUGCAGCCGCAUCAGCAAGUCCCCAUCUGGGGACAUUAUCAAUUUCAAACCUUGGUCAGUCAUGAAGCCCCAUUGAAGGACUUCAUCCUGAAAUCCACGAACAAAGAACGAGAUCCCGCAAUGCUGUCAUCUAAAAUGCCUGAAAAUGCCAGUGCUGCGACAGAUGGCCCUGCUCGGUAAAAAGCCUAAUUAUUUGGUAUUGUAUGCUACAAAAGAGAAAUGCCAUAAUUCCCAGUGGGGGCUGUGGAUACUGGACCCCCAUAACCAGGUGCCAGAGAUCACGUGGUGUUCAAAGUCCAAAUUAUAAGCAUAGUGCCGAGGACUCUGAGGAUGACUUCUGCACAUCUUCCGAAAAGGGAUGGAACAGCAGAAUGAGUGCCAUCAUGGCUUGGAUGGUUGGAGGUGCUUUGGGCAUGAAGACCCUCUAACUGUGAAGUUAGAGGCUUCCAAUGUUAGCUCUGUUUUAAGUAUAUGCACAAAGUCACAGUCUCAUAGCUGAGCUAUUAAAAAUAAAAUCAACACCAAGAUA
ensembl:lncRNA novel transcript, antisense to C7orf33 and CNTNAP2